AUCGGGAUCCGAAUGCCCGUUUUUUUUGACCCACAUAUUUCACAAAACCCAAAUUCCUUUCAUCCAUUCUCACCAAAACCCUAGACAACUUCUCCUCCCCAGUUCAUCCAUCUACCACCUCCUAACUUCUCCUCUCAAAUCUCUAAUGUCGUCGAUGGUUUCAGCACCAUAUCCGCUGCUGCACAUCCUCCAAACCCUAGAUCUGAUACCGGAGUCGAUGGUUUCAGCACCAUAUCCGCCGAUCGAUGGUAAAGUAAAGAGGAAUCAUCAGGCUUCCACUCAUCUGGAUGAGCUUGCUCAGGCUUCUAUGGAUAAGCAAGAAAUUAGAAACUGCUAUGAUGGAUUACUAUCUGCUGCUGCAGCUAUGACAAAUAGUAUAUUUGUUUUCAGAGUCACUACAGGAAGUAGGGACCUGUUUGCUGGACAAAAUCGUAACCGAUGCUAAUGGUGAAUGUGAGUGUUACGGUGGCACAAGGCUGAAUUGGGUGGUGAUCGACGGCUGAUUUACAGCGGUGAACUGCGACAUAAAACAAGACGACAACGUCAUGCGUGCUGGAGUUGUUUUGGGAAGAGUCGCCAGCCACUAACACAGCAGCUGCUUCUCGACGAGGUAGGGGUUCUAAGAGAAUUCGUGCUUCUGAAGUUCGUAAUUGUUUUACAUAGUCCUAUAUUAUCGGGUCUGCGAGUCAUGUACCCUGUUAAGCACACAUCGGUUUGACAUCUAUAAGAACAUUGAUAAAAUUCAGUUUGUGAAAUGCCCUGUUCUUGUCAUCCAUGUAAGCAUUAUUUUUCUUAACUUCCUAUAUAAUCACUCAUAAAAUCGCCCUUCCCGUUGAUACUGAUUUUUUUAUGAGAGGCUUCUUUUAAGCACUUCAUCGUUAGCAUUAAUAAUUUAAGUGUUGCCAUAAAUAUAGGAAUGUGGACUUUGUUAGAAACUUAUAAUAGGUGUCGAUGAUUACUCAUUUUGUUUCUGAGCACCAGGAAUCAUUCAGUAGGUAAAACAUUGUUUAUUAGAUGAUGAUCUGUGUCUGAUGUAGCUAAUUUGAGGUUUGACCUUUGACCAUCACCAUAAUAGAUAAAUAAUAAAUAAUAAUAGAUUAUUAAAUCUCUUAUAUUAUUAUAUACUUCUAUUGUAAUAAUUAUAAUAUAUUAUCCUGUAUGUAUGGUAAUUUGUCCAUGUGAAAGCUUAAACUUCUAACCUUAUUAACGUUAUGUGUAAUCUAACUUAUAAUAAAAGACUCCAAAUAAUGACAUAUGUCAUUCUCUCCUUCAAUCUUAUAAAUUUUAUUUAUAUUUGUUUAAUUAGUUUCUUUUAAUAUUAAUAUUAAUUAAUAACCAAUAUAUAGAUAUCACUUAUUUUUAUCCUUAUCUUUAUCCUUAUCUUUAUCUAAAAUUAAUAAAAACUUCAAUCUUGCAAUUUAGACCCUUUAUUUUUUUACUUUUAACCCAAAAUCUUUCAUCUUUUGCAAUUUAAUCCCAACUCUUUUUCAUUUUCAAUUUUGUUCCACCAUACUUUUCAUCUUUCUCAAGUUUUUCGUUUCGUUCUAAAUUUUGUGAGUUAACGCACCGCAACGUGCGUGUGUGGUUCAACAUUUUUUCAUAUAUUUUUUUCCCGUUUGACUAACCCGUCGCGUCACAUCUAUUUUUCUACGUUUGGCACGUUCGUCCAACACGCGGGUUCUGGAUGGACUUAGUUGUUUUUUUCUAUAUUUUACGUUUCGGUUUAAUUUCUCAGCAACGAGCGUGCGUGAUUCAAAGAUUUUACGUCUGUUUUUCGCUCGGCGUUAUUUUUUUCCCGUUUUUAUUUAUUUUGUUUUUACGAGCUUUUCUGGUGUUGGUGGUCGCUGACAAUGGUAUAGUAUUGCUACUACUUAACACAGUUUUAUGACAAUCCCUGCAACGCAGGGGCUUAAUACUAGUAAGUAGAUAUAUAUGAUGACAUAAAUAUUGUAACUAAUCAGUAAUUCUCUAUCUAAUCGAACCUAUCACAAAAAAAAAGAAGAAAUCCUGGAACACACUAAAUAAUAAUUUGAAUUCCUUUUAAUUCUCCAUUAUUUAUCUCCUAUUAUUUUGGGGUUUGGGUUUCCAUAAUAUAUAGAUUCAAUUAAAUUCCUAUAAUUUUGUGAUAUGGAUUCCUAAAUUUAAUUCCACAUUUAAUCUAAUACUAAAUAAUCUAAACAAUCUAUCUAUAACUUACAAAAUAAUCUAAACAAUCUAUCUAUAACUCAAAUUCUAACUAAUUAAAUUAAAUUAUACAUUGAUAUACAAACCCUUAUAUUUGAUAUAUAUAUCUACAAUUCUCUAUACGAUAACCCCAAAAGCUCUGGAUUAUCCAUAGCACUGCAGUAUAUAUAUGGCUAUUUAGUCCUGUUAACCUCACAUAAACCCUAAGACGCCUCUACCUGCAAUUUUACUCCAGCUACGAUUGUAUCUCCGGGUAAUUUUUCAAAUUUCUAUCCUCUAUAUAUUAUUAGUUUCAUCACUACCGUUGUUCUAUAUGUGAUGUGUAUAUUUCUUCAUUGAACCAUGGAAGGAAGAAUUCUAAUAUAUUUGAACGAUAUUGAUGGCACAAGAAGAAAUUUUCAAUAAAGGUCAAAGUGGUUAGGCUUUGGAGAAGAAAAAAAUCCCAAAUUGCUUUUAUAUUAAUUUUGUUUAUUUUUAUUUUUUGGAUUUUAGGUACAAGAUUUCAAUACGAGUAGAGGAUUGCACAGGAACUGUAAAUCUUACUCUAUUUGUCCGUGAUACAGUCAAGCUUUUGGGUUUAUCCGCCAAACAAUUGGUUGACAAAUAUUUGCAGGAGGUUUCUGGUGAUGAGAAAGUCACACCUGUUGAAUUCGGUGCUUUCAUCGACAAAAAGUAUGCCUUUAAAAUUCAUGUUAAAACGUAUAUUGUGGACAAUAAGGUUGACGGAUUUUCUAUCAAUAAGUUAGUUUGAUGCUGUUUCGUUUAAAGAGUUUGACUCGAUGAAUCUCCCCACCACUGCUUCAUUGUCACAAAGUGAUGCUGGUGUCAAGGAUUCAAAAUCCUAUACUGUAGAUGAUGCAACACCGCUAUCCGGGAAUAAUGAAAGUAGAAAGAGUACUGGUGAUCUUAAACGCACACUGGAAGGUUCUUAUGAUGUAGACAACUCAUAUUCAUUUUCUCCAUCAAAAAGUCGAAAAACUGAAACCAAAGAUGAAACCAAGGCUCAAUCCAAAGACAAACUUUUGAUCCCUAAACUUGAAAAGUAGUUUUAUUACUUUCAAGCUGCAAAAGAUUUCGUUCUUUUUUUCCUUGUGUUCUUGUGAUUUUAUUUUCAAACAAAAGUAGUUGUUGGUUUUUUUAUGAUCUGAUGACUAUAUUUUAUUUUGAAGAAUUUUUUUAUUACUAUUUUAGUUAGUUGUUUA